GGAGAUGAGGAAGAGGAGCAGCCCUGAAUUCCUGCUGGGAGCCUGAGGAUGCAGCUGGAUCCUGGAUCCUGCCCUGGGGACGCUCAGGCCUCCUUCAGCUGAUAUUUUACACCUGUUCAAAACUCUGCUGCUCCUCAGGGAGCUCAGAAUUUGUCUAAAAAGGACAAAAAAAUGGCUGGUUUCGUGUUUAGAUAGCUCAGAAUUGUCUAAAAAGGACAAGGAAAGCUGAUUUCAUGUUUAGGUAGCUCAGAUUUUCUUUAAAAAGGACAAAAAAAGUCUGAUUUCAUUAUUUAGGUAGCUCAGAAUUCUCUAAAAAGGACAAAAAAAGGCUGAUUUCAUUAUUUAGGUUGCUCAGAAUUUGUCUAAAAAGGACAAGGAAGGCUGAUUUCAUGUUUAGAUAGCUCAGAUUUUCUUUAAAAAGGAGAAAAAAAGGCUGAUUUCAUGUUUAGAUAGCUCAGAAUUGCCUAAAAAGGAACAAAAAAAGGCUGAUUUCAUGUUUAGAUAGCUCAGAAUUGCCUAAAAAGGAACAAAAAAAGGCUGAUUUCAUGUUUAGGUAGCUCAGAAUUCUCUAAAAAGGACAAGGAAGGCUGAUUUCAUGUUUAGGUAGCUCAGAAUUGUCUAAAAAGAACAAAAAAGGCUGAUUUCACGUUUAGAUAGCUCAGAUUUUGUUUAAAAAGGACAAAAAAAGGCUGAUUUCAUUAUUUAGGUAGCUCAGAAUUGCCUAAAAAGGAUUUAAAAAAGGCUGAUUUCAUGUUUAGAUAGCUCAGAAUUGUCUAAAAAGGAACAAAAAAAGGCUGAUUUCAUGUUUAGAUAGCUCAGAAUUGUCUAAAAAGGAACAAAAUGCUCCUUUGGAAAACCCUCCUUGUGCAGGGCCACAGGCAGGAAUGGGAGGACACAAAUUUUAGUUUUUAAGUGGCUUUGCAGCUGUGAAAUCCAGGAAAAAUCCCAUUGAAUCUCACAUUUAAAUUCCCCAAAAAAAUCUGUUUAAAAAGGCUUGACCUCAUGAUCCAGCAGGUUUUUAUUGGCACACAUUUAAUGACAGCUUAAUUAACCUCUGAAAGGUGAAUUUUGGGGGUUAUCAGGCUGCAGAAUCCUCAGGCAAAGGUUUUUUUUCCAGUCCUUGAAUCCUUCCCAUGUUGUGUGUGCAGCUGGAGCUGGCUCUGAGUUGUGUUCUUAAGGAGAUAUUCUCAUUAAAUAAAGGAAUAUCACAUCAAUACUGAAUUUAAUUAAGUAACACAUAAGGAAAUUAGUCCAAUCUGCACUUAAUUGGCAUUCAGGUUUUGGUUAAAAUAAAUAACUUUCCUCCAAGCCAAUAAAAAUUUUAGUUAAAUUAAGAAUAAAUAUUUAUAAUAAAUAAAUAAAUAUUUAUUUAUAAUAAAUAUUUAUUUAUUUAUUUAUAAUAUAUAAAUAUUAUUUAUUAUAACAAAUAAAUAAAUACCAAGAUCUGGUGGGUCAGAAUUCGUGGGGAAUUCAUUUUUACAUCCCUGUUUUACAUUACAUUUUUACAAUGUAAAAUUUACAUUUUUACAUUUAACCUUUGCCUUUUAAUUUUUUUUUUUCCUUUGCCUUUUUUAAAAUCAAAGCAGUAUUUAAAAGAAAAGGUGGAUAAACAGCAGUUUCUGUGCUGCAAAAGCUGAAAUAUCUGAUUGAAUGUGAAGUGCUAAAUGGGUUUAGUUCCUGCAAAAUCACUCAGAAUCUCAAGUGUGACGAGUAACAAUUAGGACUGGUCAAAAUUUGGUCAAAAAUAGUCAAAAUUGGGUCAAAAAUAGUCAAAAUUGGGUAAAAAAUAGUCAAAAUUUGGUCAAAAAUAGUUAAAAUUUCAGGUUUUCAGAGAGGGGAAUCCCAAAACUGGGCUCAGAUUCUGUGACAGGAGAUUUUUCUGCCAGAACUCAUCAGGCCAAAGUGUGGGAUCAAGCUGAGAACGCAGGGAGCAGCUGGAUUGUCAAACCAAAGAAGUGUUUUUUCCUUCAAGAACUCCAUUUUUAUCGUGUUCAGGGGUUCACAGGUACCUGUGUCAAUAUUUCCUCUGCUUUAAACUUGAAUCUGCUCUGCCCUGGGGUCAAGCCAGGAGCCAGCUGGAUCCUUCCUGCUUUUCCUCCUGCUCCUGCUGGGGUUGGUGCCACGUUCUUUUAAAUCCUCCUGCUUUUACAGCAUUUUUUAGAUGUGGUGCUGAAUCCCAGGGCUGGUCCCAGCUGCUGGGGGAUUUUAAUGGGAUUUUUGGGGUCACUUUUCCCACUGGCAGUGGGCACUGGGGAUUCCUGAGCUCUGGAAUCAGGAAUUCUGGAAUUCAGGAGCUCUGGGUCCUGCCUUUGGCUCUGCAGGUGAGCAGGGACAUCCUCCAGCCAUCCCAAAUGCCACCUGCAGCUGGGAUGGCUGGAUUUGGGAAUUCCUGAAGGUGUUUUCCAGACAGAUGUUUCCCCCUGAGGGCAGUGAUCCCAAGCAGGGUUCUCUCCCAGGAACAGGGGAAAGCACAGCAAGCCUAUGCUGAAAUUUGAAUUAAUGAAAUUUGAAUUCAUGAAAUUUGAAUUCAUGAAAUUUGAAUUCAUGAAAUCUAUUCUACUAAUCCCAUCUGUGUUGGGAAGGAGCUGCAAAAAGGGGAUCAGCCAGUGGAAAGGGAACUGCCCUCAUCUCCAGCCAUCCCAAUCACCUCUUCCUUGCAGAAUUCCAGCCUGGAUUGGGAAUUAAAGCUGUUCCAGCAGCUCCACCUGGGGCACCUUCCCCUGUCCCAGCUGCUCCAGCCCCAGUGUCCAGCCUGGCCCUGGGCACUGCCAGGGAUCCAGGGGCUGCUCUGGGCACCUGUGCCAGGCUCUGCCCACCCUGCACCUGCAGAAAUUCACAUUUCAGCCCCGUUCUGUGGGAAUCAGCCCCGGGUGGAACCCCUGGAGCUGCUCCCUGCAUUCACAUCCAGCUGUUCCCACAGCUGCCCUGGCCUCUCCAGCUGAAUAAAAACCACAUUUAACUCUCACAGACACCUCAUUCUCCCCCAGUUUUGUCCCAAAUGGGAAUCAGACGCUCCUGGAUAAAUUCCAAAGCCAACUUUUCCUCCUGGAUGUGAUUCCUUGCUCCGUGUUUUCCAGCAGGGCAAGGAGAGCUUUUUUCAAACCAGUCAGGCUGGAAACAAAUUGGGGUUUAAUUGUCUGCUCCACUGAAGGCUUUUAAUGGUGAUAUUUUUUUAAAUAGAUGCGUUUGUAAUUUAUUUUGGGAUUUUCCAGGAUCAUAAAGCUGGCACAGGCUGGGGCAGUGAAUAUUCCUUUAAAGCAGAUUUGUGUCAAAUCUGCAGUGGAACCACAGAGAUAUUUUUCUAUGCCUUGUAGAACUCUGAAAUUUUGUUUUCUUGAUGAAAAAAUAGAGAAAGUUUCUAUUUCCUACUGCUGUGGUUUGUACACAGAAUAACCAGAGUGAUGCUUUAUUUACCUGUACAUAGAGAGAAAGGCCCCUGGCCUGUUUUUAAUUCAGGUUUAAAGGAUCUAAUUCUUAUUUUUAACUUUGUGUUUUGUAAAUUGUUCCUUACAAAAGCAGAAGCAUUAAACAGCACUUUGGCUGCA